AAGCCAUGCAUGUCUAAGUAUAAGCAAUCUGUACGGUGAAACUGCGAAUGGCUCAUUAAAUCAGUUAUCGUUUAUUUGAUAGUACCUUACUACUUGGAUAACCGUGGUAAUUCUAGAGCUAAUACAUGCUAAAAACCUCGACUUCGGAAGGGGUGUAUUUGUUAGAUAAAAAACCAAUGCCCUUCGGGGCUCCUUGGUGAUUCAUAAUAACUUAACGAAUCGCAUGGCCUUGUGCCGGCGAUGGUUCAUUCAAAUUUCUGCCCUAUCAACUUUCGAUGGUAGAGUAGUGGUCUACCAUGGUUU
rnacentral:rRNA from 1 species